AGCGAACGCUGGCGGCAGGCCUAACACAUGCAAGUCGAACGGAUCCUUCGGGAUUAGUGGCGGACGGGUGAGUAACACGUGGGAACGUGCCUUUUGGUUCGGAACAACUCAGGGAAACUUGAGCUAAUACCGAAUGUGCCCUUCGGGGAAAGAUUUAUCGCCAUUAGAGCGGCCCGCGUCUGAUUAGCUUGUUGGUGAGGUAAAGGCUCACCAAGGCUACGAUCAGUAGCUGGUCUGAGAGGAUGAUCAGCCACAUUGGGACUGAGACACGGCCCAAACUCCUACGGGAGGCAGCAGUGGGGAAUCUUGCGCAAUGGGCGAAAGCCUGACGCAGCCAUGCCGCGUGAAUGAUGAAGGUCUUAGGAUUGUAAAAUUCUUUCACCGGGGACGAUAAUGACGGUACCCGGAGAAGAAGCCCCGGCUAACUUCGUGCCAGCAGCCGCGGUAAU
rnacentral:rRNA from 1 species